CGGGGGGCUGCAGUUAGGAAUAAUCUACAAUGCGCGCAAGCGUGAUAGUUUGAGUCAGAGUGUGUUCCAAUUUGGAAUACUUUUGCCGAAUCUAAAAAGUUCGGCGAAUAAGGACUGGGUAAGACGAGUGCCAGCCGCCGCGGUAAUACUCGCGGUCCAAGUCGCAGCCAUUUUUAUUGGGUCUAAAACAUCCGUAGCUUGCUUUUUAAGUUCCUUGUGAAAUCCUAUAUCUAAAUUAUAGGGCGCGCAGGGAGUACUAUUGAGCUAGAGACUGGAAGACGUAACGAGUACGUUCGAAGUAGCGGUUAAAUGUGUUAAUCUCGAGCGGACUAACAACAGCGAAGGCACGUUACGAGGACAGUUCUGACAGUAAGGGAUGAAGGCCAGGGGCGCAAAACGGAUUAGAUACCCGUGUAGUC
rnacentral:rRNA from 1 species